GACGAACGCUGGCGGCGUGCCUAAUACAUGCAAGUCGAACGAGAGCGACCGGUGCUUGCACUGGUCAAUCUAGUGGCGCACGGGUGAGUAACACGUGGGUAACCUGCUCAUCAGAGGGGGAUAACAUCCGGAAACGGAUGCUAAAACCGCAUAGGUCUUCGAACCGCAUGGUUUGAAGAGGAAAUGAGGCGCAAGCUUCUGCUGAUGGAGGGACCCGCGGUGCAUUAGCUAGUUGGUGAGGUAACGGCUCACCAAGGCCGUGAUGCAUAGCCGACCUGAGGGGGUGAUCGGCCACAUUGGGACUGAGACACGGACCAAGGUCCUACGGGAGGCAGCAGUAGGGAAUGUUCCGCAAUGGACGCAAGUCUGACGGAGCAACGCCGCGUGAGUGAAGAAGGCUUUCGGAUCGUAAAACUCUGUUGUUAGAGAAGAACAGCUGCUGGAGUAACUGUUGGCGCAUUGACGGUAUCUAAUCAGAAAGCCACGGCUAACUACGUG
rnacentral:rRNA from 1 species